ensembl:lncRNA
UAGUCAAUAGUCAGAGGACGGCCUUAACUGGUCAGGAUGGGUCUAAACUGGUCAGGACGGGUCUAGUGGUCAGGACGGGUCUAAACUGGUCAGGACGGGUCUAGUGGUCAGGACGGGUCUAGUGGUCAGGACGGGUCUAAACUGGUCAGGACGGGUCUAAACUAGUCAGGACGGGUCUAGUAGUCAGGACGGGUCUAAACUAGUCAGGACGGGUCUAAACUAGACGGGUCUAAACUAGUCAGGACGGGUCUAAACUAGUCAGGACGGGUCUAGUGGUCAGGACGGGUCUAAACUAGUCAGGACGGGUCUAGUGGUCAGGACGGGUCUAAACUAGUCAGGAUGGGUCUAGUGGUCAGGACGGGUCUAAACUAGUCAGGACGGGUCUAAACUA